AACGUAGGUUCCGAGCGUUAUCCGGAUUUACUGGGCGUAAAGCGCGUUCAGGCGGUUUGGCAAGUCGGGCAUGAAAUCUCUCGGCUCAACCGGGAGAGGUUGUCCGAUACUGCUGGACUUGAGGGCAGUAGAGGGUGGUGGAAUUCCGGGUGUAGUGGUGAAAUGCGUAGAUAUCCGGAGGAACACCAGUGGCGAAGGCGGCCCGCUGGGCAGUGGCUGACGCUGAAGCGCGACAGCGUGGGGAGCAAACAGG
rnacentral:rRNA from 1 species